ACUGGAUGAAGCGUGCAAUACCUGUGUAUUUAUGGGGACUUUGUUGCUCAAAGGCGCAAUGUAAAUGUAUGCUGGGAGAUUUGAUUAGCAAUUUGGUGAACAACUCUGUUGAAUGAAGCCAGGAAAGAAGCAUCAAGAAAGCAGAAAUUUGGAGCUUAACUGCUGCUGAGCUUAAUUAGAAAAGAAGAAGAAGAAGAAGAAGGACACGCGUGUUUGUGCGUGCAGUACCGCUCCUCCACUCUCAGUCUCAAGAAACAUUCACUGCAGUCAUCCUUGCCUGCUGCUAUUAAAUCAUAAGUAGUAUUUAAGGCCGGUGCAGAUUUGUUACUCUCAGUCAUUUAUAGCACCUGCGCCUGCCUCUCUGCCUGCACCCCCGCAGCGGCUUCUAUCUCUUUGUCCACUCAAAGUUUCAAACCCCUAACUUCUCAUACCAGUAAGUACUAUUGAGAUAGUAUAUACUACCAGCAUUUCCUAAAUUUAUAUAUGAUUAAAUUCUGUUAAGAUUUUACGUACUUUAUUGGCAUACUACGAUAUGUUAGUGCUACUCCGCAUUUGCUUGUAACUUUCAUUGUAGACAUGUUUGUUGAUAGAAGCUUCCUUCGUAACCUCCUCCGGAACUUUUUCGUAGUGGCUCCCUUCCAUGCCUUAUUUUUGUGUGAAAUUCGAAGUGGCUCUAUUCCAUUAUAUUCCA